AUACAUGGAUAGACAUGAGACUUCCUUCCAAGUGAGCUUGUUUUAAGUCACUAAGCUUGACUCUUACAAAGCUUAGUCAAAAAAAGGUUGAAGAGAGGAACAGAGAAGUCCUCAUCUUUAGUUGUUGAACUUUCAAUGCUUGAAUCAUACUCUGCAUCCUCUCUUGACAUAUGGUAGGAUGAAUACUCAUUUGAUAUUUC
rnacentral:sRNA from 1 species